rnacentral:rRNA from 1 species
UACGGGGGGGGCAAGCGUUGUUCGGAAUUACUGGGCGUAAAGGGCUCGUAGGCGGCCAACUAAGUCAGACGUGAAAUCCCCAGGCUCAACCUGGGAACUGCGUCUGAUACUGGAUGGCUUGAAUUCGGGAGAGGGAUGCAGAAUUCCAGGUGUAGCGGUGAAAUGCGCAGAUAUCGGGAAGAACACCCGUGGCGAAGGCGGCUCUCUGGGACGGUACUGACGCUGAGACGCGAAAGCGUGGGGAGCGAACAGG